rnacentral:lncRNA from 1 species
UUAUACGCGAACUCCUCUUGUCCCGGCUCACGAAACGUUCUCACUUUCUUCCUGCAGUCAAUAGACGCAUAAUACUUCGAGAGCCAGUCCAUUCCCAAGAUGACAUCGAAGUCCUUUAACUUCUUGAGCAUCAACAUUCUAAUUGGCAUUAUCCAGUCACCUACUUGAAUUGGACAAGCCAAACACUCCUUGCAAAUAAGAAAAUCACGCCCAGGGCCC